rnacentral:rRNA from 1 species
CUACGGGUGGCACCAGUGAGGAAUAUUGUGCAAUGGGCGAAAGCCUGACACAGCCAUGCCGCGUGAGUGAAGAAGGCCUUCGGGUUGUAAAGCUCUUUUCUGUGGGAAGAACAUCCGGUGGAGGAAAUGCCAUCGGUCUGACGGUACCACAGGAAUAAGGAACGGCUAACUCCGUGCCAGCAGCCGCGGUAAUACGGAGGUUCCAAGCGUUGUUCGGAUUUACUGGGCGUAAAGGGAGCGCAGGCGGAAAGGUCAGUCUGAAGUGGAAUCCCGGGGCUCAACCUCGGACGUGCUUUGGAUACUGCCUUUCUUGAGUCCGUGAGAGGAGAGCGGAAUUCAGGGUGUAGCGGUGAAAUGCUUAGAUAUCCUGAGGAACACCAAUGGCGAAAGCAGCUCUCUGGUACGUGACUGACGCUGAGGCUCGAAAGCGUGGGUAGCGAACGGGAUUAGAUACCCGGGUAGUC